CCUACGGGAGGCAGCAGUGGGGAAUUUUGGACAAUGGGCGCAAGCCUGAUCCAGCAAUGCCGCGUGAGUGAAGAAGGCCUUCGGGUUGUAAAGCUCUUUUGUCAGGGAAGAAACGGUCUACUCUAAUACAGUGGGCUAAUGACGGUACCUGAAGAAUAAGCACCGGCUAACUACGUGCCAGCAGCCGCGGUAAUACGUAGGGUGCAAGCGUUAAUCGGAAUUACUGGGCGUAAAGCGUGCGCAGGCGGUUAUAUAAGUCAGAUGUGAAAUCCCCGGGCUCAACCUGGGAACUGCAUUUGAGACUGUAUGGCUAGAGUGUGUCAGAGGGGGGUAGAAUUCCACGUGUAGCAGUGAAAUGCGUAGAUAUGUGGAGGAAUACCGAUGGCGAAGGCAGCCCCCUGGGAUAACACUGACGCUCAUGCACGAAGACGUGGGAGGACGAACAGAGUAGUAUACCUACGGUAGUACCGACCGACCCGUAAACCGAACGUAGUCUACUACGUUAGGUUCGGGUACGUUAA
rnacentral:rRNA from 1 species